GAGUUGCCGUCACCGGCGAGGUUAAGUGUGAUGACACACGUUAUCCGCAGUGAAAGCGAGCCUGAAUAGGGCGCAGAGUCGGUGGAGGCAGACGCGAAACCAAGUGAUCUACACUUGUCCAGGAUGAAGUCCCGGUAACUACGGGAUGGAGGUCCGAACCAAUAAGCGUUGAAAAGCUUCUGGAUGAGGUGAGUGUAGGAGUGAAAGGCCAAUCAAACUUGGAGAUAGCUCGUACUCCCCGAAAGGCAUUUAGGUGCCGCGUAUGGCGGUCACCGUGAGAGGUAGAGCGACCGAUAGGAUGCGAGGGGCUUCACCGCCUAUCAAGUCCUGACGAACUCCGAAUGCUCACGGUCAGCAGCCAUGCAGUAAGGGGGCGGUGCUAAGGUCCGUCCCCGAGAGGAGAA
rnacentral:rRNA from 1 species